AUUUGGAGAGGAUGCUUUUGGCGCGGCGCCGUCCGAGUUCCUUGGAACAGGACGCCACAGAGGGUGAGAGCCCCGUACGGACGGACGCCUAGCCUAUACAAAGCUCCUUCGACGAGUCGAGUAGUUUGGGAAUGCUGCUCAAAAUGGGAGGUAAAUUUCUUCUAAAGCUAAAUACCGGCCAGAGACCGAUAGCGCACAAGUAGAGUGAUCGAAAGAUGAAAAGCACUUUGAAAAGAGGGUUAAAAAGUACGUGAAAUUGUUGAAAGGGAAGCGCCUGUGACCAGACUUGCGCCCCGUGGACCAUCCGGCGUUCUCGCCGGUGCACUCUGCGGGGCGCAGGCCAGCAUCGGUUCUCCUAGGGGGAUAAAGGCCGCGGGAACGUAACUCCUUCGGGAGUGUUAUAGCCCGUGGUGGCAUGCCCCUGGGGGGACCGAGGACCGCGCUUCGGCAAGGAUGCUGGCGUAAUGGUCACCAGCGACCCGUCUUGAAACACGGACCAAGGAGUCAAGCAUUGGGGCGAGUGUAUGGGUGCCAAACCCGCACGCGAAAUGAAAGUAAACGCAGGUGAGAGCUUCGGCGCAUCAUCGACCGAUCCUGAUGUCUUCGGAUGGAUUUGAGUAAGAGCCUUACCGCUUGGACCCGAAAGAUGGUGAACUAUGCCUGAAUAGGGUGAAGCCAGAGGAAACUCUGGUGGAGG
rnacentral:rRNA from 1 species